GAUGAAGAACGUAGCGAAAUGCGAUAAGUAGUGUGAAUUGCAGAAUUCAGUGAAUCAUCGAAUCUUUGAACGCACAUUGCGCCCCAUGGUAUUCCGUGGGGCAUUCCUGUUCGAGCGUCAUUUACCCCCUCAAGCUCCGCUUGGUGUUGGGCGUCUGUCCCGCUUCGCGCGCGGACUCGCCCCAAAGGUAUUGGCAGCGGUCGUGCCAGCUUCUCGCGCAGCACAUUGCGCUUCUCGAGGCACCGGUGGGCCCGCGUCCAUCAAGCUCACCCCCCCAGUUUGACCUCGGAUCAGGUAGGGAUACCCGCUGAACUUAAGCAUAUCAAUAAGCGGAGGA
rnacentral:misc_RNA from 1 species